GAAAAAGAAAUGAGAGAGCAAAGCCCUAUUCCACUCAGAGGAAAGAGCAUGUGCAAAGGCUUUAAAAGCAGCAAGUUCGUGGAAUAACAUGGAACAAUGAGAAUUAGAAAGAAAGCUCUGAAAGUUGUUAGGAUGGUAGUAGGGAGGAGGAGUUCGGCGUGUGAACACCUCUGAAAUACCAAUGCCAGUGCUAUCAUAGACAUUAUCUUCUCACCUUGUUAGGAAGAUGGUCCUUGUAAACUUGAUCUUGGGCCGGGUUUGGUGGCUUACGCCUGUAAUCCCAGCACUUUGGGAGGCUGAGGCAGGCAGAAGACGAGUUCAAGAGUUCGAGACCAGCCUGGCCAACAUGGUGAAACCCCAUCACUACUAAGAACACAAAAAUUAGCCGGGCAUGGUGGUGUGUGCCUGUAACCCCAGCUACUCAGGAGGCUGAGGCAGGAGAAUCGCUUGAACCCGGUAGGCAGAGGUUGCAGUGAGCCGAGAUCGUGCCACUGCACUCCAGCCUGGGUGACAGAGCAAGACUUCAUCUAGAGAAAAACAACAACAACAACAACAAAAAACUUCAUCUUGAUAAUUAGCAAGUGUUGAUUAGCCUUGCCAAGACUGCAAAUUCCCCAACAGACAGAGCUCAUGGAGAAGGCUUUAAAGUUAUACACCAUUAAUUCAGAAUUCAUGUAUCAAUGGAAUUUUCCAAUGAUGAAGACCUGCUGGGUUUUCAGUUUGGAACCAUCAUUUAAGGAAACAGACUGUCUCUGUCAUUUAGAAGACUAAAAUCUAAAUGCAAAAAUAAGAUUUAAAGAAAUUACAUAAAACUGCACGUCACUGUCACUAUAAUAACAGAGUGUCACUCUAUCACCCAGGCUGGAGUGCAGUGGCUCACUGCAACUUCUCCCAGGUUCAAGCGAUUCUCGUGCCUCAACUUUCCAAGUAGCUGGGAUUACAGUGACUUUGGGAGCUGUAUGCUGAAAUAGGGACAUUGAAAGAUGAGGAAAUUAUGGAUCUCCAAGUCACUAGAUGGAAGAGAGCACGUCAAAAACUUUAUAAGGAAGAAGUAAGCUCUUCUUGUGCUAAGCCAAGAGUUGGCAAACUAUGACCCGUGAGCCAAAUAUGGCAUACUUUGUAUGGUUUGCAUGCUAAGAAUGGUUUUUAAAUUUUUACACAGUUGGGGAAAGACAAGCCAAAGAAGAAUAAUAUAUUGUGAUAUGUGAAGUUAUGUGAAAUUCACCCUC